rnacentral:hammerhead_ribozyme from 1 species
AUCUAGCUGAAGAGUCCCAAAUAGGACGAAACGUGCAUCCUGGAU